CCUACGGGAGGCAGCAGUAAGGAAUCUUCCACAAUGGACGAAAGUCUGAUGGAGCAACGCCGCGUGCAGGAUGAAGGCUUUCGGGUCGUAAACUGCUUUUAUAUGGGAAGAUUAUGACGGUACCAUAUGAAUAAGGACCGGCUAACUACGUGCCAGCAGCCGCGGUAAUACGUAGGGUCCAAGCGAUAUCCGGAAUUACUGGGCGUAAAGCGUGUGUAGGUGGAUUAAUAAGUGUGAUGCGAAAUCCGGCGGCUCAAACCGUUUGGACUGUGUCGCAUACUGUUAGUCUAGAGGACGGCAGAGGUAAGUGGAAUUACGGGUGUAGCAGUGAAAUGCGUAGAUAUCCGUAGGAACACCAAUGGCGAAGGCAGCUUACUGGGCCACACCUGACACUGAGACACGAAAAGCGUGGGGAGCGAACAGGAUUAGAUACCCUGGUAGUCCACGCCGUAAACGAUGCAUACUAUUAGUAUGGGGUAUCGACCCCCUGUGCUGAGAAGCUAAACGCGAUAAGUAAUGCCGCCGNGGGAGGAGAGCGCAGACUAAACUAACAAANAAGUAAGUAGAGCGUGAGACGAGCGACGACGACGACGAGGGAGGAGG
rnacentral:rRNA from 1 species